UACGAAGGGGCUAGCGUUGCUCGGAAUCACUGGGCGUAAAGGGUGCGUAGGCGGGUCUUUAAGUCAGGGUGAAUCCUGGAGCUCAACUCCAGAACUGCCUUUGAUACUGAACGAUCUUGAGUUCGGGAGAGGUGAGUGGAACUGCGAGUGUAGAGGUGAAAUUCGUGGAUAUUCGCAAGAACACCAGUGGCGAAGGCGGCUCACUGGCCCGAUACUGACGCUGAGGCACGAAAGCGUGGGGAGCAAACAGGG
rnacentral:rRNA from 1 species